AGAGUUUGAUCCUGGCUCAGGAUGAACGCUAGCUACAGGCUUAACACAUGCAAGUCGAGGGGAAACGACAUCGAAAGCUUGCUCUUGAUGGGCGUCGACCGGCGCACGGGUGAGUAACGCGUAUCCAACCUGCCCACCACUUGGGGAUAACCUUGCGAAAGUAAGACUAAUACCCAAUGACGUCUCUAGAAGACAUCUGAAAGAGAUUAAAGAUUUAUCGGUGAUGGAUGGGGAUGCGUCUGAUUAGCUUGGUUGGCGGGGUAACGGCCGCCAAGGCUACGAGGUCAGUAGGGGUUCUGAGAGGAAGGUCCCCACAUUGGAACUGAGACACGGUCCAAACGUCCGACGGGAGGCA
rnacentral:rRNA from 1 species